UGGAGGCCGAGUCAUUGGUGGUGAAGGUGUGAUGUUCCGCCAAGCGACUCACUCGUGCAUGCUGCAGCUGAAACUCCACUAUCGCCUGCUGCUGCUCGCACAGUCUGGCCAGC